UAUUGGGAACCCUCAUAACAUUUUUCAAAAGGACUUGACAGCUUUCAUUUUAAUAAGACAGAGUAAAGAGGAAGCGGCUUAAAAGAUGUCAUCAAUCUUUUAUUUAACUAAGUACGGCCCUUCAUUUUGAAGGAAAUGAUACAAUUUCAAACUGGAACCGCCUUCUCAAGAAGUGGAGACAAGCACAUGAUAUCAAGAGUCUUCAACACAGUGGAUCCCAUUUUAGUAGUCCUUAAAUUUUCUUAGCUUUUCAUAGUAUAUGUCAUAUAAAAUUAAAGUUUUGCUUCCAAAAAAAUAAAAACUAAAAAUUUUCUUCAAGAUCUGGAAUAAAGUCUUUUGCUAGACACUUUAGUGUUACAAAGUCAUUUUUAAAUUAAAUGUGGAAUAAAAGCUACAAAAGUACGAGUUCUUUCAAUACAAAAAGUUGUGUAGCUGAAGUUGUAGGCUCCUUUGACAUACAUAAGCAGUCUCAAUAAAAUAUUUGCUCGGGUAAGAAAAUAGAAUUUGUCUGGUUUCUCUAUUUCUUUCCUUCAAAGAGUGUCCAUAAUUCACAGUACAAAAUAGUUCUAUGUGCACGACCGAGUCUCCGUUCUCCUCCUCGGAGCCCGAUGCUGGGGGACGCAGGGGGGACGGUGUAGUCCGAGUCGCGUCGCUGUCGCCCUCAUCCGGCUCAGCCGGGUGCAGGUGCGUGGCGAGCUCCUGUAGCACCGCCGCGCGUCCGAUCUGGUCGUUGCGCCGCUUCUCCAUGAUCAAGUCCUCCAGGCUCUGGAACUCGAGAGUGUGGCUGCGCUGAGCCGAGAGCUGAAUCUGCAAACGGUAGGGCUGCUUGCCGAUGCGCAGCUCGCCACCGAUCUUGAACUCGCGUUUGCCAUAGCGGCACCAGGCCGCAAAGCUCUCGGAGUUGCGCCAGCUGAGCUCGCGCUCCUUGGCGCCCACGUGGGCCAGCGCGUUGCGCACUACAGCGCUAGGGCUCAGUGGCUUGUAGCGAUACAGAUCGUUGACCACGCGGCCGCGCCGGCCCUGGCUCGCAUCGGUCAGGAAGCUGUUGCUCACCUCCAGCCGGUGCAAAUGCACCACCUGGAAAUUGCCCACGUAGACAGCCCAGUGCGGGUAUUGAGCCUGCGAUACAAACUCCACCAGGUCACCCGGACUGCACUUGUUGAGCAAGUUCUCCGGUGUGUAGGUGCUCAGAGCCGCCGAUCCUGGCGCGAAGCUUUUCUGAUAGAUGCACUCAUCACGAUAAAACACCGAGCAUUCCACCUCGUGCUGCCGCGGGUCGUAGGGCUGCGGCGGGGGCAGGGGAGGCCGAUCCCCGGAGUCGGACAAAGCUCCGCCAUCAAGCCCCUGGGGCGGUGGCUGAGGUUCCACAUCCUCGUCGUCAUUGGAGAAAAUAUAAGAGACUCCGAUGCGGGGCCCAUCGUCUCGAUCCACGCCGGUCGGGUCGGCCGUGGGAACUUCCUUAUAACUUAGGUGGGUCAGUUUUUCCACCUGGUUGCCCAUUACGCUGUGGACUCUCGUUCACAAGACUUCAAGAGGAGAAAGCGAAACCACCGUCAGAGUCAUUGGCACUGGUGCCCGGGCAGGGGCUAAAGCCACCUGUUGGAAGAGAAGACGAGGGAGAUGUUUGUAGGUGCCACUCCAGAAAAAGACGUUUGUUUCUUGAAAAAGAACCGGUAGGGGCCCGAGCACCUGGAGCCAUUUUAGGAGAAGUCUGGGGGACGUGCUUCCUCGCGUUUCUACACCACUAAGGUCACGAUCACUGGAGACAUGGCCACUCCAGCUUUCCCCUUCCUCCAGCUAUCACCUGGACCCAGCCAAAGCCAUUGCAUCAGCAGCUCCGACAGCUUCCGCCCGCGCCCUACCUGCCAACCCUGGGCAGGAGUGGGGGAGGGAAGGAAAUAGAAACUUUAUUCCAAUUUCCUUCUCUUUCCUAACUUCCCCUCCCACUCCGGAUCCUAACUAGCCCUUUGACGUCCUUCAAUGUCUGCACCCCCAAGAACCUGCUAGGCUACCUUGGCGUGGAGGUGGCAGGUGAGCCUCCGGACUAGACUCACCUGCCGCAAGUCACUGCGGCUCGUCGGCCCCUCCCCCGCGCGCCUGCCCUGGGGUUCAGAUUACCUGCGCGGACUCUCUCCCCGAGAGGUAGAAGCCCUAGGGGACCGGGAGGGGCACCCUGCCGCACCCGAGACUUCUAGGGCGAGUUCGCAGGUGUGGGCUCCGCAGUGCCUCCUCUCCCAGCGCAGACCAAGGCGAAGCUGGGCUUCGGGGAAGGACGCAUUUCUCCCUCGCCGCCCCCCGCGGUUGUGUAGAGCCCCAAGACUUGAAGAUGGGGGGCAAUGCCUGUUCACGAUCGUUGCUGCACGACCCCUCACGCAGAUUUCCAGGAAGGAGCUCCCGCUCGGGCUAGGCGAGCAACAAGCGCCGGAGCGGGAGGGACGGGAUUGUAGAUCCGGCUCGGGGCUCCCGGGCGGGAGUGCAGCCGGACAGAACCUGGGCUGUUGUACAUGAUAGGUACUGUGGCCUUCACGACUUGACUGGAGGAGACAUGAGAUAAAUAAGCAGAAGAACAAAUAAAAGUGCCUGAGAUCAGGACUGUGAGGAACGUAAGACAACACCCCGAGAUUGAGUAGCUGUCCUGAAGGAGAGAGUGGCAGGGACAUCACUGGCCUACUUUACAUGAGAUGGCCAAGGAAGACCCCUCAAGAGCUGGAAUUUGGGCUGAGACAUAAAGAAAAGAAGGGCUGGCAUUGCUAUCCACUCCAGAAGGAAGAUGGGAACAGAAGAAGGAUGGAGCUGAGAGCGUUUAGAGAGUAGGAGAAAAGGAGAUUGAGAUGAGAGUACAGAAUGGGCAGGGCCGGGAGACAAGAAACCUCCUGAGCCAAAAAUAGAGUCAGUGAAGACACUGUACCAGUGGUGACUAUUGUACUUGCAAUUUUUUUUUUUAGAGAAUUUUGUUUAUUAAUCAUUCAACCACAGUAACCCAAAUUUCAUAUUCUCUGCACCUGCUCUAAGAAGAAAGAAAAUAAAAACAAGCUGUGUUCAAUGUUGGUGAGUUCCUGUCUAAGCCCCUGAGGCUGAACUGAGAUUUGACCUUUCUACCCCACGAGGCCUGAACUCUGACGUUGCAAGUGGGGUGAGAUAUUGGGUUGAAAAUUGUCUCUCCUGGAAUGUAUACAACAGGGGAUCAAAGAACUCUGUGGUUAAGCAAUCUAGACUUCUGUCUAUCCCCAGGCUGGGCCUCAUGCUCACCAACAUAAUAGCAUUUUCUCAAAUGCAGCUACCUCCAUAGCACCCUACAUCCCCAAACCCCUAGGCUGAUCGGUACCCAUUCUCCCUGAGGGUUUCUGGCCCUCUUGUAAAGUGAACAGUGGUAGAGUGGAGUGAUAACUUGAUGUUCCUUGUGUUUGCCAAUCAUGUGAUGCUAGAGUUGUCUCUUCUCCAUGCUGGGCCUGGUGUCUCAGCCUUUCAGGUAAUGCUGAUGCUCUCUGUCACGACAGAGAUGUUCAAGGAAAAUCUAUGUGCAGGAGCAUCCUGUAAAUCCUAAAGGCCAUGUGCACGCUGGGCAUGAUUCACAGCCCAUGAUGACUUUGUGUAAGGAGUAGGAGAGCCUCCUGCUGUGGGCCUCUUUGUAACAAAUCUCCGCACACUCCUGAUGUUUGUGUGUCCCCAGCCAGCGUGUUAAGUCCAAAGGACGUAUGAGUCCUACUCAUUAUCAAGGAAGAGGCUAGGCCCUGCUGCCUCCAAGUCUGGUUUUCACAAUGAAUCAAACAGAGUCGAAGGAGGGGUAGAGUACUCCCAUCCUGUGUGUGUUUGCUUGGCCUGUAACCAGCAAAUCUCAGUGACCAGCUAAUUUUGCUUUGCUAGGAACUUGAAUGGUUUUAGUCCUGAACACUUCUGGCCAAAGCUAAUGGCAAUAGUGGUCAUCCGACCUGGGUGCCUCCCUGUCUUGGUCAUUGCCCUCCACCCUGAACAAAGAGCUGUCAUGAGAACUGGGUUAGGUAUGUUACAAUGAUGGAAAAGAGUGGGUACAGAAAGCAGGGAAAAUUGAGUUUUCAGAGAUGCUGCUUUUAACAGAGACUAGGGCAGACGGUCAUCCAAUCAAAGAGACUAUUAGAUGAACACUUAUUCUGUCUUUUGUUCAUUUGUUAUAAGUUUCAUUCCCUGGGAUAGGUGAUACCCACUGUACCCAUGUCACCUUUGAGAGCUAUUCACCUGUAGCUCUGUUCCCAGCCUGCCAGACUUUGGCUACGAAAUCAAUGUAGGAGUGUUACACACUGACACAGUUCCAGAUUAAGGAGAGAGGUACCAGAGGCUGCCUAAUCAUGAGAUAUUUUUUUUCUUUCUUUCUGUUUCAUUUUUUCUUAGAUAACUAGGCCAGACUCUUUCCAACAGGAAGGGCAUGAGUUACUCUGCAGAUGGACAGAGACAAGACAGGGGGGCCCCUUAGCAGAAGCUAGAGCUGCACCUGCACCCUGGGACCUCAAGCCAUCCCACCUACUGCUCACACAUUUCUCUUGCUAUCAGGCUGUCUCGGAGAGAGAAGAGAUGGAGCCGGUCCUCCAUCAGGCCCACUGCUUCAGGGGGCCCUGUGAUCAUAUUGUUGAUGUUGCCGGAAAUGUGAUUUGUGCUCAGGAGUCUGAGAUUGUAGCUGGGCUCCCUCAGGAGCCUCAUGAAAAAUGCAUUUCACCAGGCGGUUCCAGGGGAGAGACUGGCUUAAAUUACAGCUCUAGGAAUCCAAAUAUUGGCAUAUCUGCAAAUCCAAAUGUGAGGGGGGGGGGGGACCUAAAUUCCAAGAAUCUCAUUCUGCACUUUUUGUGUGCAAAAGGGGUGAUGGGAUUCAGAAAGGGGAGAUUCAGAGGCUUCAGAAGAGAACACCCCAACUCUUCCACCCUUUUCUCUCCCCAUGCAUCCUGCAUGCCUUCAAAGAAACAGGCUGUGACACAGAGGAGAAGGUAGCAUUUGUUCAGUGUGACAGUUUUUAGUACAGGUGGGGCACAGGAGGGCUCAGCCAUCUCUGUCUGCCCCUCCCUGUACAGUUUUCUGGAUCUAGGAUGAAGGUUUCUUAUGGAUCAGUAACGGCACUACAGUCAUUCACAACCCAGCAGGGUGAGGGAUCCUGCGCCACUGUGAGAGAAGCCAAGUUAUUUCUCUGCUCAAAAUCCUCAUCUGCCUUAGAGAGGGGUGGGGUGUUCCUACUGUAGGCUCCAAGGUCAUUUCACUAGUUUUCUCCUCAUCACAAGACAAGAUGGCCCUUCAUUAUUCCCUUCCCCCAUGGCAAGUGCACAUCUCCCUCAGAAUCUAAACUUUUCUCAUUCCUUCUGCAUGGAGUACUUACUUGUCCCUGCAAAGCUCAUCAGACUCUGUUCAGUCUUCACUAAGAUACCAGCUUCCAGAUACAUAUUCCCUGACAACAUUAUUUUAAAAUCCCUAGACUUCUCAUACAUGCUCUUGCGUACAGCAGUGACUUAGAUGUGGACCCAAGGGGGUCUGUGGCUUGGUAUUGAAGAGAUGGUAUCUUUAAAUAGUGAAACUUCCUGGAAGAUGGUUAGAUCAUUGGUGACACUUCCAGUGGAAGGAAUUGUGAUAAUUCUAGAUUCCUGAUUUGUUCCCAAGAGAGUGAGUUGUUAUAAGAGCAAGCCUGAUUGGCUUCCUGUCUGAUCAUGUGACCUCUCCCCUGCACGUGCUACAGCUAUAGUGGUGGCAUCCAUCACAAGGCAUGAGUCAAGCAGAAGCUGGGACCAUGGUCUUUAUCCUGUAAAAUGGAGUAAAUAAACCUUUUUCUUUGGAAGUACCCAGCCUUAGAUGUUUUGUUACAGCCAUGGAAAUAGAUGAUCAUAACCCAUUUCUGUUCUGUUAUAUAUUAUUUAAACUAUGUAUUUAUUUCCUUUUCUUAUUUUGUAUAAGUUAGUAACUUGAUUUGGUUGUCAUAGCUCAUAUAUUAUAAGAUCUGAAUUAUAGUUGAUUGAAUAAUUGACAGUAUCUUUAUGGGGCAUCUCUAUCCCUCUUCACAAUAUAAUUUCUCUUUAAUUUACAGGGGGACUAUCAAGCUCUAAAAUUUAAGUAACUGCCUAUAUUGUAACCAGCACAAUAGUCCAGAAAUCUGGGCUUCAGACAGGUCUUUGAACUGGACUUGGGUGCAUCAAGAAAUAUAACCUUGUGCUACCUUGCAUGGUAUCUACCAGUCA
rnacentral:lncRNA from 1 species